GCAUCUCAGUCAGUAGAGCAUGAGACUCUUAAUCUCAGGGUUGUGGGUUCGAGCCCUACAUUGGACA